UAUGCACUGGCUUUACUGAUUCCUCCUUCUUGACGAACCGUGAUGUCAUUAAUUUGGUGUUGCGGGAAAUCAGGACUGUUACUUUGAAAAAAUUAGAGUGUUUAAAGCAGGCUAGCGCUUGAAUACAUUAGCAUGGAAUAAUGAAAUAGGACGUUAAUCCUAUUUUGUUGGUUUCUAGGAUCGACGUAAUGAUUAAUAGGGAUAGUUGGGGGCAUUAGUAUUCAAUUGUCAGAGGUGAAAUUCUUGGAUUUAUUGAAGACUAACUACUGCGAAAGCAUUUGCCAAGGAUGUUUUCAUUAAUCUAUAACGAAAGUUAGGGGAUCGAAGACGAUCAGAUACCGUCGUAGUCUUAACCAUAAACUAUGCCGACUAAGGAUCGGAUGAUGUUAAUUCUUUAAUGACUCAUUCGGCGCCUUACG
rnacentral:rRNA from 1 species